rnacentral:rRNA from 1 species
AUGUGUCCAUAGCCACACCACUCUGAACAUGACUCUUUUGAUCUCGUGAAGGUUAGCAGGUCAAACCUGGUUAGUACUUGGAUGAGAGAUCACCUGGGAACACCAGGUUAAAACACAUC